GACGAACGCUGGCGGCGUGCUUAACACAUGCAAGUCGAACGGAAAGGCCCUGCUUUUGUGGGUUGCUCGAGUGGCGAACGGGUGAGUAACACGUGAGUAACCUGCCCUUGACUUUGGGAUAACUUCAGGAAACUGGGGCUAAUACCGGAUAGGAGCUCCUGCUGCAUGGUGGGGGUUGGAAAGUUUCGGCGGUUGGGGAUGGACUCGCGGCUUAUCAGCUUGUUGGUGGGGUAGUGGCUUACCAAGGGUUUGACGGGUAGCCGGCCUGAGAGGGUGACCGGCGAAAUUGGGACUGAGAGACGGAGCAGAAGGGUACGGGAGGCAGCAGUGGGGAAUAUUGCAAAAUGGGAGGAAGCCUGAUGCAGCAACGCCGCGUGCGGGAUGACGGCCUUCGGGUUGUAAACAGAUUUAGCAUGUGACGAAGAGUGAGUGACGGUAAUGGGUAAAGAAGCACCGGCUAACUACGUG
rnacentral:rRNA from 1 species